AGUCGAACGGCAGCGCGGGGCAACCUGGCGGCGAGUGGCGAACGGGUGAGUAAUAUAUCGGAACAUACCCUAGAGUGGGGGAUAACGUAGCGAAAGUUACGCUAAUACCGCAUACGCACUAAGGUGGAAAGUGGGGGACCGCAAGACCUCAUGCUCAUGGAGUGGCCGAUAUCUGAUUAGCUAGUUGGUGAGGUAAAGGCUCACCAAGGCGACGAUCAGUAGCUGGUCUGAGAGGACGACCAGCCACACUGGAACUGAGACACGGUCCAGACUCCUACGGGAGGCAGCAGUGGGGAAUAUUGGACA
rnacentral:rRNA from 1 species